UACGUAGGGCGCAAGCGUUAUCCGGAAUUAUUGGGCGUAAAGAGCUCGUAGGCGGUUUGUCGCGUCUGCUGUGAAAGACCGGGGCUCAACUCCGGUUCUGCAGUGGGUACGGGCAGACUAGAGUGCAGUAGGGGAGACUGGAAUUCCUGGUGUAGCGGUGAAAUGCGCAGAUAUCAGGAGGAACACCGAUGGCGAAGGCAGGUCCCUGGGCUGUAACUGACGCUGAGGAGCGAAAGCAUGGGGAGCGAACAGG
rnacentral:rRNA from 1 species